rnacentral:rRNA from 1 species
UACGAAGGGUGCAAACGUUGCUCGGAAUUAUUGGGCAUAAAAGCGCACGUAGGCGGCUUGGCAAGUCGGAUGUGAAAUCCCUCGGCUCAACCAAGGAAGUGCAUCCGAAACUGCUGAGCUUGAGUACUUAAGAGGAUCGCGGAAUUCCCGGUGUAGAGGUGAAAUUCGUAGAUAUCGGGAGGAACACCAGUGGCGAAGGCGGCGAUCUGGGAAGAUACUGACGCUGAGGUGCGAAAGCGUGGGGAGCAAACAGG